rnacentral:rRNA from 1 species
UGGGGAAUAUUGCACAAUGGGGGAAACCCUGAUGCAGCGACGCCGCGUGAACGAAGCAGGUAUUCGUAUCGUAAAGUUCUGUCCUAUGGGAAGAUAAUGACAGUACCAUAGAAGAAAGCUCCGACUAAAUACGUGCCAGCAGCCGCGGUAAUACGUAUGGAGCGAGCGUUGUCCGGAAUUAUUGGGCGUAAAGGGUACGCAGGCGGUUUAAUAAGUCGAAUGUUAAAGAUCGGGGCUCAACCCCGUAAAGCAUUGGAAACUGAUAAACUUGAGUAGUGGAGAGGAAAGUGGAAUUCCUAGUGUAGUGGUGAAAUACGUAGAUAUUAGGAGGAAUACCAGUAGCGAAGGCGACUUUCUGGACACAAACUGACGCUGAGGUACGAAAGCGUGGGGAGCAAACAGG